rnacentral:sRNA from 1 species
GUGGGGCUGCCCGGUGCGUGCUGGAUAACAUUUCCUUGGGGCCUUAUCGAUCUUAAGGGAGCCUGUCCCUGACCGAGCUCCUGGGCUUGGAUAUACGGCGCCCACCUACGUAAAGUAGGUUCCCAGGAUCGCAUAUCCCACGGCCGGGGCGGCACCUAA